AAUCCAAGUUGUAUCUAGAAGA
rnacentral:piRNA from 1 species